AAGGAAAGAAAAAGAAUAGAAAGAGAGAGUAACUGCACCAAUAAGUAGCCAUUUUGUUCAGGGACAGACACUAGGUGUAAGGGGUGCCCCCAAAAUAAUUUACGAAAGAACUUUGAUAGCGGAAUGUAGCCUCAUUUGCAGGUUCUACCCCCCUUUGUUGGCUUUGUAUCGUACCACUGUCCUGGUUCCAAAAUUUGCUAUCCAUAUUGUUCUCCUCUCUCCUUAAUUUCAAUUCCCA